AUUUUUGGUGAUUGGAGAAAGAAAGGGCUGCGGGACUGUGGAAACAUUCUCCACGUGUCUGGCUAUGGGCCGUAUUUCCGUGCUGACUCCUUCAUAUGAUUCCCGUAACAGGCCUCGAGGCAGAUACCGAGUUUCCUACUCUGAUAGCAUGGAAUCUGAGGUUUAGGAUGGCUAAAGUGAUGCAGAGCCCCAUGGCUAGAAUUUCCUUCACUGGUGCUUAGAGUAUUAAUCAAAAAAUGAAAUCUUCACUUGUGUCCAGUAAAGUGUUCCAUCCUGAGAUCUUCUGCUCUGUUUGGACUUCUGCCACUGGAGCUGAACAGCAGAGAAGCCAGGCUGGGUCAAAGCUCCUGGAGGCAGAAGCCUUAACCCUACUUCUGGAAGCCUCUGUUCACUGCUUGGCUCGCGCGGCUCGUGCGCCCCCUCCCGAGCAGCACCAGAACUGCAGAGCCCAGCCCCCGAGAAAGAGUGAGCUGCCAGGGUGGUCUGAAUGGGAGGCAAAGCUCAAGGAACCUUCUCAGGAGUUGAUUCUCCAGGACUAUGGAAAGCAAAGAGCAGAUCGUGAAAUGAUGCGGAGGGCGCCGCCUGCAUGAUCCUCGAGUUCCUGACGUUCCUGGGCUCAGUUGACAUGUCGGUGGGAAGGAAGGGCGGGUUGCAUCCUGCCUGUCAAAGGGAUAACUUCUUAGCUGCCCUGCUGCUGGACCCUGACCUCGAUCUAUGGGCUUCUUCAUGACUACUUGGAUGGAUGCAGAGGUCCACCUCUGGAGCUCCACCAACUUCAUCUUAGAGAUUGAGCCUUAGUGAAGAGACACUGCCAGGGGUCACUAAAGCUUCACUGAAAGGGUCCCUGUGCUACAGAGUUGCAGGGUGGAUCUAUCACUCAUCUGUUUGCAGUUGAAGAAGACCCUGGCCAUCAGGAGGAGAAUUCAGCCUCAAGACUCCCUCCUGUCUCCCACUGAUGGGCCCCUUACCCAUGCCCCAGGGACACCACAAAGUCAUAGCCCUGUGACUAUUUUCAUGGAGCUUCAGGAAGUCCCACAAUUGGGACUUCUAGUCACAAGAGAAAGAGUAGAUGAGAUGCCAUAUUUAUUUAUUUAUUUAUUUAUUUAUUUUAUUAGAUAUUUUCUUUAUUUCCAUUUCAAAUGUUAUCCCCUUUCCUAGUUUUCUCUCUGAAAACCCCGUAUCCCUUUCUCCUACCCCAUGCUCACUAACUCACCUACUCCUGCUUCCUGGCCCUGGCAUUCCCCCACACUGGGGCAUAGAACCUUCACAGGACCAAGGACCUCUCCUCCCAUUGA
rnacentral:lncRNA from 1 species